UAUUGGUAUCACGUUGUCGUCGUCAGCAUCGUCCGAAGACGGAUGGUUUCCGGAUAAUAACUUUAGUAUAAGUAAAUAGAAAUCAAUAAAAUUUUAUAACCACAAAAGGAAGUUUAGGAUUGAUUUUGGGGGUUAUGGUCCCUAAGGUUUAGGAAUUAGGGGCCCAAAGGGGCCCAAAACAAGCAUUUAUCUAGUGUCAGGACAAUAAGUUGUGUAUAAGUAUUUCAGUUGUUCUGAAAUUGUACCACAAUGUUUAAUACCAUAAGUAGAAGGUUGGGAUAUAUUUUAAGGGUUACGGGGCAAACAGUCUAGGAAUAAAGGGGCCAAAAACAAGCAUUUUUGUAUUUUCAAGGCAAUAAAUUGGAGUUGAUCUUUCUUUGUCCAGAAUGGUUGUUGAAUCACCUAAAACCAAUGCUUUAUGAAAUCUUCUUUGAAAAUUGGAGUUAUCUUUCUUUGUCAAGAAUAAUAGUUGAAUCAACUUAAAUCAAUGCUAUAUACAAUAUACAAAGCAAUAUUCACUUUUACUACCAACUAAUAAAUUAAAGCAAUCUUUACCAUUCAGUGAUUACAAGCAC
rnacentral:lncRNA from 1 species